CACUGCGUACCAUGGUUUGCUGUUCAAUUCUCAAGUUGCUGCCAUGCAUUUCUGCAGACAUUGAAACAUUCAGCCAACUGUCCUUCACUCCCAGUACACUGACUUUUGCCCUCUGAACAGUGAUAAGAUAUAAAGUAGACUUUGAUACAGUUUUUAACCCUGUGAGCUCUAUGUAAAACCUAGAAUCUGACAGAGAAUAAGUGCUGUUUUUAAAAUGGACUAGGCCAAGAUGGGCAAGGAAAUCAAUAGAUUCAUCAAUCAAGAAUCAAUAAAUUGAAACUAGAAAAUGUAAUUCCGAGGAAUUACCAGUGCAUGAAAAUGCAAGUCAUAGUUGAUGACUACUGACAGUUUGAAUGGCUGACCAGUUAAACAGUUGGAUAGUUUAAAUUUGUAAAUUAUUUAAUAGUGAAUUAAUAGAUGUGCAUCAGUAGACAAUUUAAUGGAUGUUGAUAGACAGAUAGUUUAAUGGGUGAAGUGAGGAAGAGAAAAGUAAGCUAUUUAGUUCAAUGGAGAGAGAAUAGGUUCCAUUGAAGUUGCUGCAGUCAGUGAGAUAGCACAGGUGCAGUUGAUUGCAUUCUAAGUCUUUAAUUGGCUCUGUGAGGGGGCCUAGUUGAGCAGCUGUCAGUUGGUACAGGUGUUAAUCAGUUUGAUAAGCCCAUUGUGAUGUCAUAGUGCCAAUGCGAAGUCUAUGGGGAAAAAUAAGCUUGAUUUACGUUAAUAUCUCAAAGUAUAAAGUUU